AGGAUCAACGCUGGCGGCGUGCCUAAUGCAUGCAAGUCGAACGGGGUUCCCUUCGGGGGACGCACGUGGCGGACGGGUGAGGAACACGUGGCCAAUCUGCCCGGAGGCAGGGGGUAGCCCGCGGAAACGCGGGGUAAUUCCGUAUGCGCUCGCUCCCCGAGUGGGGGGUGGCGAGCAAAGGCGCAAGCCGCCUUCGGAGGAGGCUGCGGCCGAUUAGCUGGUUGGUGGGGUAAUGGCCUACCAAGGCGAUGAUCGGUAGCUGGUCUGAGAGGACGAUCAGCCACACGGGGGACUGAGACACGGCCCCGACUCCUACGGGAGGCAGCAGCAAGGAAUUUUCCGCAAUGGGCGCAAGCCUGACGGAGCAACGCCGCGUGCGGGAUGACGCUUUUCGGAGUGUAAACCGCUGUUCGGGGGACGAAGCACUGACGGUACCCCCGGAGGAAGGCCCGGCUAACUACGUGCCAGCAGCCGC
rnacentral:rRNA from 1 species